GGUAUAAUCCAUUUACAUAUGCUCUGUAUCCAUCAUUGGGAUUCUAAUUUGCUUUGAACUGAGGAAGAAAUAUAUGUAAGUUGCUUGUUUGCUUUGCGAUUUAGCAAUGUAGCCUUUCCAUUGGUGUUGAUGGUUUGAUUCAGGUCGAUUUUUCGACCAAAUGGAUACUGACAGUUGAGUGUAAGAUAUCCAAAAUAACUAAGUUGCUGAUAGAAUGUAAGUUUGUGUUGCAAGUAGAUCUAUCUUUUAUAGGCAUUACCAUUGACCGCCCCAUACCCCAAGGUAAACAAUACAUUAGGAAGAGCACCUAUCACACUAGCCUUGGCAUAAGAGUGAAGAAUAAAUGAAAAUAUAUACCCAGAAUUGAAAUCAUAGAAGAAAAAGGAUUAAGCAUAUGCCCAUAAAAGGAAGAGAAAUUAGUGCAUGUGUAUUAAAGAGGAGAGUAGAAAAAUCAAAUAAAAUAAAAAAGAUAAGGACUCGAAUCAACUUACACCAUUACCUUAGACACUGGAAGAACAAAUUAGGUACGGUAAAAAUGUGGCUUCCAGUUGGAGCUGUUAAACCAGACUCAUUGAACAAAGGGUCCAACAACUCUCAUGGAUUGAAUCAUUGGUCAUUGUACAUAUAGAAGAUGAAAAAUUAAGAGAAUUGUUUGGCUAUAGACCUACUUAAUGGACUGUGAUGAACAUAUGAAGUGUAAAAAUUUGACUCACGAGAAGAAAUUGAGGAGGAAGAUAAGAGAGAGGAGAAUGAGAGUGUGAUACUGAGGGGUGGGGCGUCUGCUAUUGAGGUUUCUGGAAAGGAGAUGGCUAACUUAACGACGUCUCGGAAUAAGAGUGGUUGAAGGUUAAGACAUGUAUAUAGAAGUGGCAGUGGGCAGUUUAUAAUCAGUUGAUCAGAUUGGAGUGGUUUUGGAAAAUUACUUCCAAACAUGCCAUGAAAUUGGAAAAGCCGAAAUUAAGUUAACCAACAGACCUAUUAAACCAAUGUGUACCAACUCUGGUUUCAGUCUGUUUCCUUAAUUUAUUGGCUUUGACUUGCACCCUUAAUUAUUCAGUUGUGAGGAAUUGGUCUAGCUUUUUGAAAGACAAUCCAGCAGUCUUGCUGUUUCAGAUUUAACUUCACCAUAUCUUGUUAGAAUGGAAGGCACUGUAGUUUCUUUCAUUUGAUUAUGCCAAGAGCUGAGCAUGAUGUUCAAAUUUGUGAUCUUGAUAGGUAGUGGAAAA